UCUAUUCCCUUUCAUUCUACUCCAUUCUCUCUCUCUCUCUCUCUCAUGUUGAUUCAUCAACUUUUCGAACCUCCUUAGGUUCCACAUACCUUCUUCAACUAUCAUUAUAUGUAUCAUUCUAAGGAGUAGGCGCAUGUGUGAUAAUUGUUGAUUCUCUUCUACCUUACGUCUGUUCUCAUUUGAGGAGCUUACGAGGUUCGAUAAUUAAUCAUGUGUGACAUUGUAGCUGUGCCCUCCAUACCUAUCACAGAUCGACCUGCUAAAGGUGCUGAGAUGGAAUACUCAGAGGAUGAUAAGAAAAAAAAGCUUGGCUCUUUUAAGAAGGUUGCAAUCAGUGCAUCUUCAAAGUUCAAGCAUUCCUUGCAUAAGAAGGGGAGAAGGCAUAGCAGGGUUAUGUCUAUUGCUAUUGAGGAUGAAGUUGAUGCAGAAGAGUUGCAAUCAGUUGAUGCUUUUCGCCAAACACUCAUCUUAGAAGAGCUAUUACCCUCAAAACAUGAUGAUCAUCAUACGAUGUUAAGAUUCUUGAGAGCAAGAAAAUAUGACAUUGAGAAAACAAAACAAAUGUGGGCAGAUAUGCUUCAGUGGAGGAGGGAGUUCGGUGCUGACACAAUUAUGGAGGAUUUUGAAUUCAAGGAGUUAGAACAAGUUCUAAAAUACUACCCGCAAGGGCAUCAUGGAGUUGAUAAGCUAGGGCAACCUGUUUACAUAGAAAGGUUGGGUCAGGUUGACUCUAACAAGCUGUUGCAAGUCACAACUUUGGAUCGCUAUCUUAAGUACCAUGUGAGAGAGUUUGAGAGGACAUUCGCUGUUAAGUUCCCUGCUUGUUCCAUUGCAGCCAAGAAACACAUUGACCAAAGCACAACGAUCUUGGAUGUGCAAGGAGUGGGUCUCAAAAGUAUGAACAAAGCUGCAAGGGAUCUCAUCCAACGUCUUCAGAAGAUUGAUGGUGACAACUACCCUGAGACCUUAAACCGUAUGUUCAUCAUUAAUGCUGGUUCAGGAUUUAGGCUGUUGUGGAACACUGUCAAGUCAUUCCUUGAUCCUAAGACCACCGCAAAAAUCCAUGUCCUAGGUAACAAAUACCAGAGCAAGUUGCUUGAAAUCAUUGAUGCCAGUGAACUUCCAGAGUUCUUGGGUGGUACUUGUACCUGUGGAGACAAAGGUGGUUGCUUGCUUUCAGACAAGGGACCAUGGAAUGACACAGAAAUCUUGAAGAUGGUUCAAAAUGGAGGAGGAAAAUGCAAGAGGAAAAGUUUAUCCAGGAUCGAAGUGAAAACCAUCAUUGAAGAUGAUGCAGCAUGCCAAAAGGAACGCGAUUCUUUAAAGAAAGAAUCUGCAGCUAUGGAGGAUCCGGGUGCGGCUCCAGAGGUGACAUUUGCACCAGGGAAUAAAUCUUGGAAAAAAGCAGAACAAAAAGAUCAGUUAGCCCUUUCUAAAGAUUGUUUAUCUAGCAACAACAAUUCUAAUCGGUUUAGAAUCCCAUUUAGUGGUGGAAUCAUGUCCAUUCUUAUGGCAGUGAUAACAGUUAUCCGCGUGGCAAAGAAAGUGCCAAGAAAAAUCACUGGAGCUGACAUGUUUGGUAACACAGCAUAUUGUAAUAGCAACGAGAUGAAAGCACCUGCAAUUUGCAUGGAUGAUCAAAUGGCCAUGAUGAAGCGCAUGGCUGAGCUAGAAGAGAAGGUGAAUAUCCUCUCUAAGAAACCUGAGAUGCCACCUGAGAUGGAAGCAUUGCUGAAUAAGGCUCUUAGCAGAAUCGGUACGCUGGAACAAGACUUGGCUAUUACCAAAAAGUCACUUGACGAUGCCCUUAUCCGACAAGUGGAGCUUCAAGGUCACAAUGAUAAAAAGAAAAAGAAGAGGAUGUUCCGCUGGUAAGGUGUUGCUAUUGCUGUCUGACCUCAAUCAAAUAUUAACAUUAGCAUGAGUUGUAUAUUUUCGGAGGCGUUCCUUUUAUCAGCCCCAUCGGAUCCAAUUACAUUCACCUUACGUUUUCGUCAGCUUAAUCCCCUGUUCCUGUGGUAAUAAAGUCGUCCGUGUGAUGAAGUGAAGUUGGUUCCAACAGUCUGAGACACUCCACUUAGUAUUUGAUUGACAAACGGAACUUCACUUCAACCAUCUACGACAGCAAAAAGGUUAUGCCAAACGAAUCCACAUAUUUACUGUAUUGUAUCAUGUACGCAC